rnacentral:rRNA from 1 species
CCUACGGGAGGCUGCAGUCGAGAAUCAUUCACAAUGGGGGAAACCCUGAUGGUGCGACGCCGCGUGGGGGAAUGAAGGUCUUCGGAUUGUAAACCCCUGUCAUGUGGGAGCAAAUUAAAAAGAUAGUACCACACGAGGAAGAGACGGCUAACUCUGUGCCAGCAGCCGCGGUAAUACAGAGGUCUCAAGCGUUGUUCGGAAUCACUGGGCGUAAAGCGUGCGUAGGCUGUUUCGUAAGUCGUGUGUGAAAGGCGCGGGCUCAACCCGCGGACGGCACAUGAUACUGCGAGACUAGAGUAAUGGAGGGGGAACCGGAAUUCUCGGUGGAGCAGUGAAAUGCGUAGAUAUCGAGAGGAACACUCGUGGCGAAGGCGGGUUCCUGGACAUUAACUGACGCUGAGGCACGAAGGCCAGGGGAGCGAAAGGGAUUAGAUACCCUUGUAGUC